UUAGAGUUUGAUUCUGGCUCAGGAUUAACGCUGGCGGCGUGCAUAACACAUUCAAGUCGAACGGAAACAGGCCUUCGGGUUUGUUUUAGUGGCGGACGGGUGAGUAACGCGUGAGCAAUCUGCCCUUUACUGCGGAAUAACAGAGAGAAAUUUCUGCUAAUACGGCAUGCACCGUAGAGACCGCACGGUCAAAUACGGGAAAGAUUUAUCGGUAAAGGAUGAGCUCGCGUCCGAUUAGCUAGUUGGUGAGGUAAGAGCCCACCAAGGCGACGAUGGGUAUCCGGCCUGAGAGGGUGUACGGACACAUUGGGACUGAGAUACGGCCCAAACUCCUACGGGAGGCAGCAGCUAAGAAUAUUCCGCAAUGGACGAAAGUCUGACGGAGCGACGCCGCGUGGAUGACGAAGGCCGAAAGGUUGUAAAAUCCUUUUGCUGAUGAAGAAUAAGCGUGGUAGGGAAUGACCGCGUGAUGACAUUAGUCGGUGAAUAAGCCCCGGCUAACUCCGUGCCAGCAGCCGCGGUAAUACGGAGGAUCCAAGCGUUAUCCGGAUUUAUUGGGUUUAAAGGGUGCGCAGGCGGAAGAUUAAGUCGGCGGUGAAAUUUUGCAGCUCAACUGUAAAAGUGCCAUCGAUACUGGUUUUCUUGAGUGUGGAUGAAGUAGGCGGAAUUUGUGGUGUAGCGGUGAAAUGCAUAGAUAUCACGAGGAACUCCGAUUGCGCAGGCAGCUUACUAGGCCAUAACUGACGCUCAGGCACGAAGGCGUGGGGAUCAAACAGGAUUAGAUACCCUGGUAGUCCACGCAGUAAACUAUGAUUACUCGCUGUUUGCGAUACACCGUAAGCGGCUUAGCGAAAGCGUUAAGUAAUCCACCUGGGGAGUACGUUCGCAAGAAUGAAACUCAAAGGAAUUGACGGGGGCCCGCACAAGCGGAGGAACAUGUGGUUUAAUUCGAUGAUACGCGAGGAACCUUACCCGGGCUUGAAAUGCAUCUGACAGGAGCAGAGACGCUCUCUUCCUUCGGGACAGAUGUGUAGGUGCUGCAUGGUUGUCGUCAGCUCGUGCCGUGAGGUGUCGGCUUAAGUGCCAUAACGAGCGCAACCCUCAUCAUUAGUUACCAUCAGGUUAAGCUGGGGACUCUAAUGAGACUGCCAUCGUAAGAUGCGAGGAAGGUGGGGAUGACGUCAAAUCAGCACGGCCCUUACGUCCGGGGCGACACACGUGUUACAAUGGGUGGUACAAAGGGCAGCUACAUGGCGACAUGAUGCUAAUCUCCAAAACCACUCUCGGUUCGGAUCGGAGUCUGCAACUCGACUUCGUGAAGCUGGAUUCGCUAGUAAUCGCGCAUCAGCCACGGCGCGGUGAAUACGUUCCCGGGCCUUGUACACACCGCCCGUCAA
rnacentral:rRNA from 1 species